GGGGAAUCUUCCGCAAUGGGCGAAAGCCUGACGGAGCAACGCCGCGUGAGGGAAGAAGGUCUUCGGAUUGUAAACCUCUGUUUUUAGGGACGAAGAAAGUGACGGUACCUAAAGAGUAAGCUCCGGCUAACUACGUGCCAGCAGCCGCGGUAAAACGUAGGGAGCGAGCGUUGUCCGGAUUUACUGGGCGUAAAGGGCGCGUAGGUGGUUUGUUAAGUUAUAGGUGAAAGUUCGGGGCUCAACCCCGUGAUUGCCUGUGAUACUGGCAGACUUGAGUGCAGGAGAGGGGAGCAGAAUUCCCAGUGUAGCGGUGAAAUGCGUAGAUAUUGGGAGGAAUACCAGUGGCGAAGGCGGCUCUCUGGACUGUAACUGACACUGAGGCGCGAAAGCGUGGGGAGCGAAC
rnacentral:rRNA from 1 species